AGCUCAAAUCGAGUGGGAAAAAAGAUUACAAAUGAAACCAUUCGCAUGCCCUAAUAAAUGUGGCAGAAGAUACAAACAGAAACGAAACAUGGUGUACCAUUAUCGUCACGAAUGUGGUCAAGGUCGUAAAUUCCAAUGCAAGUUCUGCUUGAAGCAUUUUAAUAGAAAUUUUUCCCUGCAUUCUCACAUAAUCGCUGUGCAUAAAGUUACAGAUUUUUAAUUUCUCGUGUUUCUAUGGUGAAAUCCAAGCCCCAUCGAUGGGUUACCAACAAAUGCAAAAAAAAUUAGAAUGCGUCGCUUGCGGAAAACGUUUUAUAUUGAUGAAAGAUAUGCUGACUCAUUGUAAAUUCAGUUGUGAUAAAAGAGCCACGUUCGAAUGUAAAUUCUGUAAGAAGAGAUUCAUACAUAAAGUAUCUCUACGAAGACACACUUUGACCGUUCAUAAAUCCGAGGAUUACGUUUAAUUUAAAUUUUUUUAGUAUCCACAUAUUGUUGGUUCUUUUGUGAUUUUUUACUGUGAGAUUGUUUUUUCCUAUAUUUUCAGUUUAUUUAUUGAUAAUUUAUUAAGUAAAAAAUACCCUGAUUUUAAUCCUAUCAGUUUUGAAUUGUUUUCUAGAAAUUAAAUUAUGUUGACUUUCUCAGUA